rnacentral:rRNA from 1 species
ACUCAAAUGAAUUGACGGGGGCCCGCACAAGCGGUGGAGCAUGUGGUUUAAUUCGAAGCAACGCGAAGAACCUUACCAAGGCUUGACAUAUACAGGAAGUUAGUAGAGAUAUUAACGCCUUCGGGUCUGUAUACAGGUGGUGCAUGGUUGUCGUCAGCUCGUGUCGUGAGAUGUUGGGUUAAGUCCCGCAACGAGCGCAACCCUUAUCUUUAGUAGCCAGCACUAACGGUGGGCACACUAGAGAGACUGCCGUGGAUAACACGGAGGAAGGUGGGGAUGACGUCAAAUCAUCAUGCCCCUUAUGUCUUGGGCUACACACGUGCUACAAUGGGAAGGAACAAAGUGAAGCAAAGCCGCGAGGUGGAGCAAAUCACAAAAAACUUUCCUCAGUUCGGAUUGUAGUCUGCAACUCGACUACAUGAAGUCGGAAUCGCUAGUAAUCGCGAAUCAGAAUGUCGCGGUGAAUACGUUCCCGGGCCUUGUACACACCGCCCGU